CAUUUUUCUGCACUUAGGGUUUGCUUUAUUUAUGAGAGGGGGACAUGUCCCCACAGCAACGCAGUGACUCAUCCCAAGGUCCUGCUGCCGUGAGGAGGCAAACCACAUACUACUACUACUACAUACAUAGACAACACACAUACAGACUAAGAUAAACAUACAAGAUGAAAUACAACAUUAUGUUGGAGAGGGAAGGUCAGUGUUCUUUGAAAGAGGAAAAGGAAACGUAAGCAUCGCAAAAAAGGUCUCCCUGCCACCGCCAUUCGACCUCUGCAGCUCAUCCAGAAUACAGCAGCUCGACUGGUCUUUAACCUUCCAAAAUUCUCCCACACUACUUCACUGUUGCCCACGUCCUGUAUCCAGUUCAAAACAUUGGUACUCGCGUACCAUGCUUUGAAUGGAUCGGGUCCAGUCUACAUCCAGGACAUGGUCAAACCCGACAUCCCAACCCGUGCACUCCGCUCUGCAUCAGCCAAACUGCUUGUUCCUCCCUCACUGAGAGCAAAACACUCGACAAGAUCACGACUCUUUGCUGUCCUUGGAGCCGGAAUGGUGGAAUGAGCUCUCUGAUGACAUCAGGACUGCAGAGAGUCUUAACAUCUUCCACUGCAAACUAAGACAUACCUCUUCAGACUCUACCAUGACUGAAAACUAGGGCUGUCAACAUCAAUGGAUUAAUCUAUGCGAUUAAUGUGGCCUAGAUUAAACAGUCGGGCGACAUACAGCAGAGAACUGUGCAGAGCAAUAACUCUACGUGUCAAACAGAAGGGGGGUGAGUAGAAAAUGGAACACUUAAAGUACUGCUAUCUUAAGCUAGCUGCUAAGCUAACCUAGCUGCUAUCCUACUUCCAUCUCAAUAUCUAACAUUACCCUGAGCGGCACACAGUCUGCACUGCACUGUGUCCCUAAAAGACCGUGGUUUGAAAAUGUUCUGACUAAAUGUGGGGAGAUUGUUGGCACUUCAAACACAGCCGUUAAAUGAUCGAGAGUUGAGAGCAAAGUGCACGAGGACAGCAGGAAGAGUCACUAGUUCAACAUGUUCCACCUGGUGGAAUUCUGCCUCCAAGAUUAUUACGUGUGUAGUUUUGUCAGCGAUUCCUUAUUAGUUUUAAGAUUUAGUCUGUAGAAGAAAAACAAACAUUCAUUAUUAACAACAUUGUAA
ensembl:lncRNA